UACGUAGGGUCGAGCGUUGUCCGGAAUUACUGGGCGUAAAGCGCGCGCAGGCGGCCCUGCGAGGUGUCACGUGAAAGCCCCGGGCCUCGAACCCGGGGAGGGUCGCUGGCAAACCGGCGGGCUUGAGGCCGGUAGAGGUGGGGUGGAACUCCUGGUGGAGUGGUGAAAUGCGUAGAGAUCAGGAAGAACGACCCGUGGCCGAAGGCGGCCCACUGG
rnacentral:rRNA from 1 species